rnacentral:rRNA from 1 species
AGCGAACGCUGGCGGCAGGCCUAACACAUGCAAGUCGAACGAACCUUUCGGGGUUAGUGGCGGACGGGUGAGUAACACGUGGGAACGUGCCUUUAGGUUCGGAAUAACUCAGGGAAACUUGUGCUAAUACCGAAUGUGCCCUUCGGGGGAAAGAUUAAUCGCCUUUAGAGCGGCCCGCGUCUGAUUAGCUAGUUGGUUGAGGUAAUGGCUCACCAAGGCGACGAUCAGUAGCUGGUCUGAGAGGAUGAUCAGCCACAUUGGGACUGAGACACGGCCCAAACUCCUACGGAAGGCAGCAGUGGGGAAUCUUGCGCAAUGGGCGAAAGCCUGACGCAGCCAUGCCGCGUGAAUGAUGAAGGUCUUAGGAUUGUAAAAUUCUUUCACCGGGGACGAUAAUGACGGUACCCGGAGAAGAAGCCCCGGCGAAUUUCGG